UGGGGAAUUUUGGACAAUGGGCGCAAGCCUGAUCCAGCCAUGCCGCGUGCGGGAAGAAGGCCUUCGGGUUGUAAACCGCUUUUGUCAGGGAAGAAAUCUUCUGAGUUAAUACCUCGGGAGGAUGACGGUACCUGAAGAAUAAGCACCGGCUAACUACGUGCCAGCAGCCGCGGUAAUACGUAGGGUGCAAGCGUUAAUCGGAAUUACUGGGCGUAAAGCGUGCGCAGGCGGUUUUGUAAGACAGAGGUGAAAUCCCCGGCGUCAACCUGGGAACUGCCUUUGUGACUGCAAGGCUUGAGUGCGGCAGAGGGGGAUGGAAUUCCGCGUGUAGCAGUGAAAUGCGUAGAUAUGCGGAGGAACACCGAUGGCGAAGGCAAUCCCCUGGGCCUGCACUGACGCUCAUGCACGAAAGCGU
rnacentral:rRNA from 1 species